rnacentral:rRNA from 1 species
UACAGAGGGUGCGAGCGUUGUUCGGAAUUAUUGGGCGUAAAGGGCGCGUAGGCGGCGCCACAAGUCACCUGUGAAAACUCUGGGCUCAACCCAGAGCCUGCAGGCGAAACUGUGGUGCUGGAGUAUGGGAGAGGUGCGUGGAAUUCCCGGUGUAGCGGUGAAAUGCGUAGAUAGUCGGGAGGAACACCUGUGGCGAAAGCGGCGCACUGGACCAUAACUGACGCUGAGGCGCGUAAGCUAGGGGAGCAAACAGG